UGGGGAAUUUUGGACAAUGGGCGAAAGCCUGAUCCAGCAAUGCCGCGUGUGUGAAGAAGGCCUUCGGGUUGUAAAGCACUUUUGUCCGGAAAGAAAUCCUUGGCUCUAAUACAGUCGGGGGAUGACGGUACCGGAAGAAUAAGCACCGGCUAACUACGUGCCAGCAGCCGCGGUAAUACGUAGGGUGCAAGCGUUAAUCGGAAUUACUGGGCGUAAAGCGUGCGCAGGCGGUUUGCUAAGACCGAUGUGAAAUCCCCGGGCUCAACCUGGGAGCUGCAUUGGUGACUGGCAGGCUAGAGUAUGGCAGAGGGGGGUAGAAUUCCACGUGUAGCAGUGAAAUGCGUAGAGAUGUGGAGGAAUACCGAUGGCGAAGGCAGCCCCCUGGGCCAAUACUGACGCUCAUGCACGAAAGCGUGGGGAGCAAACAGGAUUAGAUACCCUGGUAGUCCACGCCCUAAACGAUGUCAACUAGUUGUGGGGAUUCAUUCCUUAGUAACGUAGCUAACGCGUGAAGUUGACCGCCUGGGGAGUACGGUCGCAAGAUUAAAACUCAAAGGAAUUGACGGGGUCAUAGCUG
rnacentral:rRNA from 1 species